rnacentral:rRNA from 1 species
GAUGAACGCUAGCGACAGGCUUAACACAUGCAAGUCGAGCGGAGAUGAGGUGCUUGCACCUUAUCUUAGCGGCGGACGGGUGAGUAAUGCUUAGGAAUCUGCCUAUUAGUGGGGGACAACAUUCCGAAAGGAAUGCUAAUACCGCAUACGUCCUACGGGAGACAGCAGGGGAUCUUCGGACCUUGCGCUAAUAGAUGAGCCUAAGUCGGAUUAGCUAGUUGGUGGGGUAAAGGCCUACCAAGGCGACGAUCUGUAGCGGGUCUGAGGGGAUGGUCCGCCACACUGGGACUGAGACACGGCCCAGACUCCUACGGGGGGGCAGCAGUGGGGAAUAUUGGACAAUGGGGGGAACCCUGAUCCAGCCAUGCCGCGUGUGUGAAGAAGGCCUUAUGGUUGUAAAGCACUUUAAGCGAGGAGGAGGCUACUGAGACUAAUACUCUUGGAUAGUGGACGUUACUCGCAGAAUAAGCACCGGCUAACUCUGUGCCAGCCGCCGCCGUAAGAC